ACUGAAUCAUCAUUGAGAAGGAUGAGGAAUUUAGAUCACGUCCAGCUUCUCUCCUCCACUGUAAGAUCUCUUCCUUGUAUUUUAACCUCUAUUUCAUGUCAGAUCUCCUGUGGUCCGUAUAUCUUUACUGCCAAUAUGUGAGAUAAAUAAUAGUGCCCACUACUUCCUCCUUCCUUUGACCUUCCUCCAAACCCAAACCCAGGAAGUGACAGAAAUAAUAAUGUUUAAAGAACAAAUUAAUAGCCAUUCCAGGAAACAAAAGAAAGUAACAACAGCAGGUGAGAAAUAUCGAGCAAUCGAAAGUCAGAAAACAGUGUUUGUCCUGGGGGACAUGAGGAGGCAGCAGCCUAAUGUGGCAGAGGACUGGGUGCCACGGGCUCAGGAGGGCAGGGGAGCUGUCUGGUUGUGCCUUGGCUUUUCUUCACAUUGUCCUUGAUGGACCUUUGCCCAUUCUGUUGUCACUGUGGGCCCCUGAUAUGAAUCAGAGGUGACCAUUAGAGUCAUUGAAUGCAUAUGGGCAGAGAAAGAGUUUAAAACACUCACAGGCUUUGCUCCUUCAGACCUGAUGUAAAAUCUGCAGGAGCAGCUGUUGCCAGUCUCAUGCGCUCACCUGGACCAGGCACUAUAAGCCUGCUUCUUGGGGCUGUGGUGAUGAGGGUCAGGCCACAGGGUGAGUGUUAUGUGGCUCCUCUGAAGCAGUUUCCUCGUCAUGUUCAGGGACUGGGAGCCUUGAGAGUGAAUCUGUGCUGCCUAGCCGAGAGGCAGGAUCGGGUUUUCGAUGUGCUCUGAAUACCUGGGAACACUCUCCAUGGCAUUGCUUCGUUGGAAAAUCUUCUUUGAAAAGGCAACAAACUCCACCUGGAAGAACAGGAAAAUGCUCUAGACCUGGGAUGUGGCUGGAAGAGGAAGACCAGGGCUUCCUGAAGAAAGGCGUCAGAUGGAAAGAACCACAGAUCUUGACAAACUCCACACUCUGUAGACUACUAUCCAGAUCAAGUGGAUUCAAUCCAUGGAUGCUGAAGCCAUUUGAAAUGGUAGCUGCUCCUAGCUUCCUCCUUGUAAAUCAGACCAUUCAUCUCUCUACCAUGUCCACAGGAGGCCUGAGGAGGGACCAGGCCAGGCUGGUUUGCAAACAGAAGCAUCAGAAUCUCCAAACACAUGCCCCUUGGAACAGGCUCAUAAUCUGAUGCCAUCUGCAAGCUGCAGCUCAAGCCAAGACUCCAUGCUUUGGGCUUCCUUGUACUGGCUCAGUGGUUUCCUCACCUGUGCAUGUACAUUUUUGUGCAUGCAUGCAUGUGGGAUGGGACAUGUUUGAGUGAAUGCCUCUUCAGGUGCACCUAGCACAGUCUCUGGGCUCUACUGAUAAGAUAUCUCACACAUACUAUGUACAGUUAUCUGUCAAAUGCUACAAAUGUUGCAAUGAAUAAAACACAUUUUAAAGCAUAGCUUUUUGUCAUCACAUGGUUUCUUGAUGAAUCCAUACUUAAAGAAGAACUACUUUGCUAUGGGAGAUUUCAAAGUAUUUUUAGCAUUAGAAAGAAGAAAAACAUUAGGAACCACCGCUUUACUAAGCAAAAAUCCACAUGAAGCCAUUAUGAUGGGGC
ensembl:lncRNA